rnacentral:rRNA from 1 species
UACAGAGGUCUCAAGCGUUGUUCGGAUUCAUUGGGCGUAAAGGGCGCGUAGGCGGCGGGGUAUGUCGGGUGUGAAAUCUCAGAGCUCAACUCUGAAAUGGCACUUGAUACUGCUCUGCUAGAGGAGUGGAGAGGAGAUUGGAAUUCACGGUGUAGCAGUGAAAUGCGUAGAUAUCGUGAGGAAGACCGGUGGCGAAGGCGGAGCUCUGGACAGUUCCUGACGCUGAGGCGCGAAGGCCAGGGGAGCAAACAGG